AGCAAAGUAAUGGAUUUAUUCAGUGUGGUCGCACCUGGAGGAGGAACUGAGAGGCCCAGUACCCCACCCCCACCCCUACCCCCACUCCCACCCCCACCAACCCAUCUUCAGGGUCCUAACGUGAGGGGAAGUUAAAAUGCAGGGCCAGCUGGAGAUACUCGUAGCUCAGCAGAACUGGUUGAGGUGCAGUCUCAUAGAUCAUCCAUCUCCUCUCCUCUGUUCCAUGGGCGGGGGCUGACAGUUGUCCAAACUCUGUGAAAUCUCUUCCUGGGUGACAAAUACCUCCUCUGGCUGGACCAAACUUCAAUUUUCUCUUUCCCAACACGAGAUCGCAGUCUGGAGUUUAUUGUCUCAAUAGUCUUAUAGCCAAAGGGAGGGACGUCUUUUCAAGCAUGGUGACCUGAGUUUGACCCACGGGAAGACAGAGGAAGGCAUCCGACUUCAUGAAGUGGUUUUCUGACUUCCACCAUGGAUGUCUGUGUGUCCACAUAGAAAAUCACCCCACACAGGCACACACAAUACUAAUGAUGAUUGAUGAUGACGAUGAUGAUGAUGGUGAUGGUGGUGAUGAUGGUGAUGAUGGUGAUGGUGGUGAUGGUGGUGAUGAUGGUGCUGGUGGUGAUGAUGGUGAUGGUGGUGAUGAUGAUGGUGGUGAUGGUGGUGGUGGUGGUGAUGAUGAGGAGGAGGAGGAGGAGGAGGAAGAUGAGGAGGAUGGUGCGGUCAUUCGUAGGUGGGGUUCUGCGCUUACCUUACAGACAUUUCCCUGACUGUCAGACAAUGGGCUCUUCCGGAUGUGUGAUCUUCCUAGGGGCUGCCAGAGCUGUCUCUUCCUGGUUAUUAGGCAUUCAUCAACAUUACUGUCAGGGACAUUCCUGGCUCCUGAUCAUUAAGUCAGCAGGAAGAAAUGCCAGCUGCAGAGGAAUGCGAGGCAUUUGUCAUUUGCCCUGCAUUCAUCCAGCAAAUCGCGACAAACCUCGGAGGUAAAAAUAGAAGCGCGCUUAGAGCUCCGAGGUGCGCACACAGGCCAGCUGCCUUCUCUGUCACGGCUGAGUGUCUGCGCUGAGUCCUCAUGUCAGGGGCAAGCGGAUACUUUAGUUCAGUUUAUUUAAGGUUCCUCUUCAGCCCCAGGCGAGCUUUGGCAAAUUCCACACUCAGAGUUUUAGUGUGUGAGUGUGGAGUGGCAGAUUGAUUGCAACCAUCUGCUCCUGAUGCUGUCCUCGGGACCACUGUAUUCCCAGCUGCUCACAAAGGCCCCUCCUGGGGUCGAAGUAUAGAUUCCCUUCACAUUCAGACCCCACAGUCCCGCCGUCUCCUCCAGAUCCCAGCCAGGCUGAUGAAGGUUUGCUUGGUAGGGCUAUACACGUUGUGCACUCGGCACCGCCCGCGCCUGAUCGAGGCAGCUUCUAAGGUUUGGGUCUGUCCCACAAACGCAGCUGUGGCCACAGAGAGUGUGCUCUCCUAGUUCACAUGGGGUACUCUGUGACCUGGAGGUGAUCUUGAGUAGAUCUGAGCCCAAAUGGCAUCUGUGAU
rnacentral:lncRNA from 1 species